rnacentral:rRNA from 1 species
GACGAACGCUGGCGGCGUGCUUAAUACAUGCGAGUCGAACGGAAAGGCCCUGCUUUUGUGGGGUGCUCGAGUGGCGCACGGGUGAGUAACACGUGAGUAACCUGCCCUUGACUUUGGGAUAACUUCAGGAAACUGGGGCUAAUACCGGAUAGGAGCUCCUGCUGCAUGGUGGGGGUUGGAAAGUUUCGGCGGUUGGGGAUGGACUCGCGGCUUAUCAGCUUGUUGGUGGGGUAGUGGCUUACCAAGGCUUUGACGGGUAGCCGGCCUGAGAGGGUGACCGGCCACAUUGGGACUGAGAUACGGCCCAGACUCCUACGGGAGGCAGCAGUGGGGAAUAUUGCACAAUGGGCGGAAGCCUGAGGCAGCAACGCCGCGUGCGGGAUGACGGCCUUCGGGUUGUAAACCGCUUUCGCCUGUGACGAAGCGUGAGUGACGGUAAUGGGUAAAGAAGCACCGGCUAACUACGUG